rnacentral:rRNA from 1 species
AAUCAUGGCUCAGGAUGAACGCUGGCGGCGUGCUUAACACAUGCAAGUCGAACGAAGCACUUUGAUCGAUUUCUUCGGAUUGAAAUUUUAGUGACUGAGUGGCGGACGGGUGAGUAACGCGUGGGUAACCUGCCUCACACAGGGGGAUAACAGUUGGAAACGGCUGCUAAUACCGCAUAAGCGCACAGUACCGCAUGGUACAGUGUGAAAAACUCCGGUGGUGUGAGAUGGACCCGCGUCUGAUUAGCUAGUUGGUAAGGUAACGGCUUACCAAGGCGACGAUCAGUAGCCGACCUGAGAGGGUGAUCGGCCACAUUGGAACUGAGACACGGUCCAAACUCCUACGGGAGGCAGCAGUGGGGAAUAUUGCACAAUGGGCGAAAGCCUGAUGCAGCAACGCCGCGUGAGCGAUGAAGGCCUUCGGGUCGUAAAGCUCUGUCCUCAAGGAAGAUAAUGACGGUACUUGAGGAGGAAGCCCCGGCUAACUACGUG